rnacentral:rRNA from 1 species
GUCUGGGGAAUGGCUCGGCUCGGGCGCCGACGAAGGACGUGCCAAGCUGCGAAAUGCGUCGGGUAGGCGCAAGGAACCUGUGAUCCGACGAUCUCCGAAUGGGACCUCCUAACCGCGAGGUUGUUCCGAAAGGAACGGGAACCC